UGAGGAAUUUUGCGCAAUGGGAGCAAUCCUGACGCAGCAACGCCGCGUGGGUGAUGAAGGCCUUCGGGUCGUAAAGCCCUGUCAGGUGGGAAGAAUGUCCCGGGACUGAACAGGUUUUGGGAGUGACGGUACCACCAGAGGAAGCACCGGCUAACUCCGUGCCAGCAGCCGCGGUAAUACGGAGGGUGCAAGCGUUCUUCGGAAUUACUGGGCGUAAAGCGCGUGUAGGCGAUCCUGCAAGUCUGAGGUGAAAGCCCCGGGCUUAACCCGGGAAGUGCAUUGGAAACUGUGGGACUUGAGUACUGGAGAGGAUGGGGGAAUUCCCGGUGUAGAGGUGAAAUUCGUAGAGAUCGGGAGGAAUAUCAGUGGCGAAGGCGCCCAUCUGGACGGUAACUGACGCUGAGACGCGAAAGCGUGGGGAGCAAACA
rnacentral:rRNA from 1 species